GAUCUACCUGGACAUUUACAAGGGCAGUUCCAGCUAAUUGAAACAUUAGAGACCCACCAGGAAUCGAGCCCCUGAUGAAGGGGUCAGGAUGAGAGACUCUGUGAUCUCAGCAACACCCAGAUGUUGGUCUGGCUGAUGUUCCAUGAGGACAGUAAACUUGGGAGUUUCUGAAGAUCUGGACCUGAUGGGAUCUGGGCCCCCACAACCUGGUAGACCGUGAUGCUGAGAUGAUUACUAAAAGUGGACCAGCAACCAAAUGAAGUGCUCAUGCAAUUGAAAUUGCCUUGAGGAUACAGCCUUGGGACAAUCUCUUUGGGAGUUCCUGAAGAUCUGGACCUGACGGAGUUUAGCCCCAACAACCCUGAGAACAGCAUCUUUCCAAGGAACUACCCACCCAUCAUUUUGUUGGAAAUUCUGCGUAAUGUGUGAGGACUUCAUGAGGCUGUGUCCUUGGAAGUUCUCUGAUUAUUUUAAGCAAACUGGGAUUUCUCCUCUCGAAGUGUUAUUUCCUGGAUUGAGACUGGACAUCUACGUUUCUUUUUCUUCACUUGGAGACAGUGAGUGCUUGAUGGUUCUGAAGAAACUGUCCAACAAGGAACAUAAUAAAAUAGAGGAAAUUAAUUUUGUAUGGUUUUUGUUUAUUCUAAAUUGUCCUUACUUAGGAGGAAAAUUUAUGGGGAGAAGAUGUUACAUAAUAGAUAUUCUCUUAGUUUCUCCUGACUUUAUUAGGAUUUGGAUUGUUAAAACAGGAAAGUCUCCUCUUUUGAAGCAGUGGUCUUCAGUGAUUUAAAAUGGGCCCACUUCAUUUUUUGUUAUGACUGGCUGUGAGAAAAUAACUUCAUAUCCAUAGAACGGCUUUUUCCCAAAGGAAUAUAUUGAAUAGUAGAAUGUUAAUUUAUCUUUUCCAGAAGCCUGACCAAUGGCCACACACAGUUUUGGAGCAACAUCAUUGAACUUAAGAUCUCUCUUAGUUUCUCUUAGGUUUAGUAGAUCGUUGAUUAUCAAAACAAAAAUAGUCUUUUGCCCUCAUGGGAUAUUGUAGGAAUGCCCUCAGUGAAUGCCUGACAGUUCUAGAGCACUUGUCCCAAAUAGGACACAACAAAUCAUGGGACUGGAAAUUUUCUUUGAAAAAGUCCUUACUCCUAUAAAGAUUAAAAUUAAUGUUCAAUACUGCAUGCAUUAUAUUUAAUACUAUUUAUUAAAACCAACUUAGAGCAAAGAGAAAAUAAAAUCCAGUGAAAAUGAUUUAGCCGCUCUUAU
rnacentral:lncRNA from 1 species